rnacentral:rRNA from 1 species
UACGUAGGGUGCAAGCGUUUGUCCGGAAUUAUUGGGCGUAAAGAGCUCGUAGGCGGUUUGUCGCGUCUGCUGUGAAAUCCCGAGGCUCAACCUCGGGCCUGCAGUGGGUACGGGCAGACUAGAGUGCGGUAGGGGAGACUGGAAUUCCUGGUGUAGCGGUGAAAUGCGCAGAUAUCGAGGAGGAACACCGGUGGGCGGAAGGCGGGUCUCUGGGCCGUAACUGACG